AGCCAUAGCUAGAAGGGAGAAUCCAAAACUCAUUCCUUAUUCAUAUGACAAGAUGGUUCUCAAAAAGGCCUGCGCUUUUUAUUUGGUUCCCUGGUUAUUCCUAAUGCUAUUGCUCUUCUCAUCAGAAAUGGCGUCUGCCAGGGUUUCAAAAGUUCCCAAAAUCAAAGAGAAGAUCAGUACUUUCAGUAGGUUGCAUCUGCAAAUGAAGAUCGCUGCCAAGGGUUCGACUCCGGGCAAAGGGAAUAAUGCCUGUAUUAAUGAUUGUCCUGUUGUUGGUGGUAACUAGGGGAACCAUAUUUAUUUAUAAUCUCUCUGACACGUACAUUUGUGCGUUAGACCCAUUUGUAAUUAAUAUAAGAAUACGAAAUAAAUCUAGGGUUGUCGAGUCUAACAUGACCCAAUAAUAAGACUCGAAAUCUGUUUAAAAUAAA